rnacentral:lncRNA from 1 species
AUUUGAGAAGGAAAAUAAACUUCUCUUUUGGGUUGAAAUUCCUCCAUUGGAAUGUGGUCAUAUGUGGUUUGAAUCUGAAGCCAUUCUUCACUGCAUUAUUUGGGUUUAUUGCAUAACUUCUAGUAAGCUAUGCUGGAGAACUUGGCUGAACAUUAAUUUGAACUAUUUUAAGUUUCUGGCAGACUUUUGGACUAAGAUAUAGCAUGGCUUUGGAGUCUACCUCCUUAACUAGAAAAUACAUACAGGCUAUGUGGCCCCUUUCAAAUGCCCUUACAUGGGUGAUCCUUGGAAGGGGCACCCUGAGAACAGGUGAAUGUUAGGGGGGAAGCUGGAACUUCUACCAGGAAUCAAAGACCCCCUUUCUGUGUCUCAAGAGCCAGAAUAUCUGCAUCUUUGGGAUUCACUGUCUCCUUUAUUUUUUUACUGACUUCCUCUGCUCACACACGGCACUCAUGACUAUGAUAUCUCAAAUCACAUGGAUGAAAGCCCGAAGCUCACCACCAGGGAAUUUCUGUGAGACCUUCACGAGGUGAGGCAGAGACAAAACUUUUAGAACCUGCUCAGUCAACACUGGUGACUGUACAGCAGAGCCCUAGCCAAGACAAAGGACCCCUGCUCUACCCACUCAGGACAGCCCAAGAAAACGCCUUCUGCAGAGAAGCAAUUGCAGCAAUUCAGACACAGUCAUCUCAUCAGGAAAUGUCAUUAGGUUGGCAUUAGGGACACAAGAAACAACAGCCUAAUUUAAAAAGAAAAGCUUUCAGGAAAAUAGAUUUUCUGCCUCCUUGCUUCCAGAAAACUCUCCCCAAACCACGGAGGCAUUUAUAAUUAUAGCAACAAUAAAUGAACAAGGGCAGAGACUGAAGUCAUUAAGGAAUCACAGGCAGAAAUGCUGCCUUCAAGGAUGGCAGCAAUUUUUUUUCUCACAAUGGUCUUAAAAAAUAACCUUUCAUGCUUGUGGUUGGCAUGUGCAGGAGGGCAGAUUCUUAGCAUGGAGUCCCCUCAAUCUUCCUGGCAAGAUGAUCUGUGCCUUGGGUUGGAGGAGGGGUCAAGGAAUUCCAGCACGGUCCAGCCCUCAUUCUCUCCUGCUUUUGAGGAACAAGGCUUCCAGGUGUCCAAGCUCAGGUGGCACUCUUAGCACCAGAGAGAUGAUGAGAGCAAGAUGACUUUGGAAACGAAGAAAGCGGCCACGAGCCUAGGAGCAUGGAGGCCUCCAGAAGCUGGGAAAGGCAGGAAGUGGCUUCCACCCUGGAGCCUCCUGAAGAAACCAACCCUGAAAUCCCCUUGAUUUUAGCCCAGUGAGACCCACGUUGGACUUUGGCUUCUAAAACUACUAGUGUCUUCUUCUACCUGCCCUCCACCAGAGGGUAUUGGUUAAUUCUUUGACACUGAGAAAUUCAAAUCUGACCCGUCUGACUUUUGAUCCCUGGAAUAAAUGAAAGAAAAGACUUUGCAAUGAUCAUGACGGUGCCAAAGGAACAGGUCAUUAUGAGUUGCUCCUGUUUAGAUUAAUCACAGUAAACACCCAUUCCUGCGUUGACCCAUCACUUAUCAACAACAGCUAAAUGAGGCAUUAUUUAAUCAUGGAACCCUGAGCACCAGCCACCCUCUCUGUCCACAGAAACAUGACUAUCUGGUUCUUUAGCAAAUAUCUGAAGAUUUCAGCUGCCAGCAGAUAUUGAUCAAUUUCGGAGCUCCUUCCCAAAAUCAAUACCUGCACACAGCCAGGACUCAAGGCUCUGGGAAAGAGGGAGUUGAUGAUCUGAACCUCCUUUUAACAGUCAGGUUGCCAGAGACCUGGGUGUCCAGGCUGAGGGAUGUGCCCACCUGACUGCCUUCACAGCUUGUCUUCCAAGGUGCUGUCUGCUUGAGGAAGUCAGAGCUGCUCCUAGAGGAUAUACAUUUAUGAACAAAAGAAAAAUGUCUAUUGGGCCCCAAACUACAUCUUCAUCCUUCUUAUCACCUAAGCGAUUUUAAGUUGAUGAUGUUUAAUGAGAUCCACGUCGUUCAGAUAGACUUCAAGCUGUGACCCAGCAAGGCAACACCAAUUUAGCCUUACUAAACACACCUCCCGAUUUUUUUUAAAGUACUUCACGCCACAUAAAUUAGACUGCCAUUGAGAUAAUUGGAAUCUUGUGGCUGUUAAUUUUUCACAGAUCCACUAUUUUGAAAAUAAAUCAUGAACCAUCAUCUUUGAAUGUUAAAGUUAAUUUACACUGAACACACUUUUCUACUUCAAAGCAUUCAUAGGUGGAUAUCUUCAACAGAUAAUUGACAGAGAUGGAACCUCCCUUCACUGCCGUCACAGCCACAAACCUAAAAUACCCACGUCAAUCCAAAGCAGCCAGAAUCCUUUUGGCUUUUUGUCGAUCAUCUUUUCUGAACUGGAACUGUCCAAAUAGUCAUCUAAAAUAAUUGAUCAAAACUGUUGUUCCAAAAAGGAUUACUUUUUGGCGGGGGAGGCAUUGCAAGAGUACGUUCUGCAUUUGCACAGAGGCUAUGUGAAUUUUCAAUAGACAGAAUAUCUCAAGGACCAUUCAAUACAAAUGAAUAGGCUUCUCUGAUAUAUAAAGAACUCAAUUACAUGUUUCAAUAAAGAACGUAAGUGUGCUUUUCUUUUUCAAAAAGACCUCCUUUUUUGCCUGUAGGUAGCGUAAACAUCAGCACAAAGCAAAUAGCUGAACUGCACUCCUGUAUCGCACUUGAUUUUAAAAUACCAAUGUUCUCCCUCCCAGAGUUGCUCCAUGCCCUGAAAUGUCAAAUAGAAAAUAUCAAAAUUACUGGUAAUUCUAAAUGGCCGACUAACCAGGUGUAUGUCUUGAUACUAAAAUAAAACAAUGUAUUGGAUGUCA